GCUCACUUCGACAGUGCAUAUACUAAAAUUGGAAUGAUGCAGAGAAGAUAGCAUGACCCCUGUGCAAGGAUGACAUGCAAGUUUGUGAAACAGUCCAUAUUUUU